GGCCAGGUAGCUCAGUUGGUUAGAGCAUUGUCCCAAUACACCAAGGUGGGUUCGAUCCCCAUUCAGGGCA
rfam:Myotis lucifugus cont2.32192, whole genome shotgun sequence.